CUAAUUCCAUGAAUGCUGCACCACCUAGGAUGAUGAUAAUAGACAGUACAGUCUAGACAUUACAGUCUUUUGUAAAUAGAAUAUCUUACAAUCUGGCCAUAGUUAGCAUGAAUGGGACAUAUUUCGGAUACGAAAGAAGUACAUCCCAAACCUAGAAUAGAUGAAAAUG